rnacentral:tRNA from 1 species
UCUCUGGUAGUCCAGUGGUUAAGACUCUGCACUUCCACUGCAGGGGGUCCCUGGUUCAGUUCCUGGUCAGGGAG